GACGAACGCUGGCGGCGUGCUUAACACAUGCAAGUCGAACGGAAAGACCCUGCUUUUGUGGGGUGCUCGAGUGGCGAACGGGUGAGUAACACGUGAGUACCUGCCCUUGACUUUGGGAUAACUUCAGGAAACUGGGGCUAAUACCGGAUAGGAGCUCCUGCUGCAUGGUGGGGGUUGGAAAGUUUCGGCGGUUGGGGAUGGACUCGCGGCUUAUCAGCUUGUUGGUGGGGUAGUGGCUUACCAAGGCUUUGACGGGUAGCCGGCCUGAGAGGGUGACCGGCCACAUUGGGACUGAGAUACGGCCCAGACUCCUACGGGAGGCAGCAGUGGGGAAUAUUGCACAAUGGGCGGAAGCCUGAUGCAGCAACGCCGCGUGCGGGAUGACGGCCUUCGGGUUGUAAACCGCUUUCGCCUGUGACGAAGCGUGAGUGACGGUAAUGGGUAAAGAAGCACCGGCUAACUACGUG
rnacentral:rRNA from 1 species